rnacentral:miRNA from 1 species
UGCUCGGCUGUAUUGAUCGAUC